rnacentral:rRNA from 1 species
GACGAACGCUGGCGGCGUGCCUAAUACAUGCAAGUCGAACGAGAGCGACCGGUGCUUGCACUGGUCAAUCUAGUGGCGAACGGGUGAGUAACACGUGGGUAACCUGCCCAUCAGAGGGGGAUAACAUCCGGAAACGGAUGCUAAAACCGCAUAGGUCUUCGAGCCGCAUGGCUUGAAGAGGAAAAGAGGCGCAAGCUUCUGCUGAUGGAUGGACCCGCGGUGCAUUAGCUAGUUGGUGAGGUAACGGCUCACCAAGGCCGUGAUGCAUAGCCGACCUGAGAGGGUGAUCGGCCACAUUGGGACUGAGGCACGGCCCAAACUCCUACGGGAGGCAGCAGUAGGGAAUCUUCCGCAAUGGACGCAAGUCUGAUGGAGCAACGCCGCGUGAGUGAAGAAGGUUUUCGGAUCGUAAAACUCUGUUGUUAGAGAAGAACAAGUGCUAGAGUAACUGUUAGCGCCUUGACGGUAUCUAACCAGAAAGCCACGGCUAACUACGUG